CGGAGGAAAGCAAAGCCAGAAGCAGCUCGCUAUGGCAAGUGCAGCGGAGGCAGGUGCCCUCUGUUCGCCCUCAGCUCACCGGCGAGUGGGAGAAGAGGACGAGGCUGACAACCUCAGGGAUGGCAGAAGCCAGUGGAGAGAAGACGUCGUCUAGAUUUACGGGUCACAGAUGCAGCAGUUUAGAAGCACCCGUAAGAGCUAUUUCGCUUAGCAAAGACGCAGCAUGAACGAAGUGCACAGGAUUCCAAGCCAGUGCUCCUGCCCAAUAGGCUGAAAACAGCUGUCUGCCUUCCCCCGCUGCUGACAGUGGGCUGAGGGGAUGUCUUCUCCCGGCAAAUGAAGAAG